ensembl:lncRNA
CAACCAUCAGUAUUUUCCAGUAAUUACAAAAUCAGUCAUUUUUAAUAGUUGUUCCUUAUUAACAACAAAUCAUUAUAACACAAAUGUUGAUCAACCAUCAGAGCAAAGACAGAUUCAUUUGCAGCACAUCAGACAGUUUGCUUGAUAGACAAGCACUGGCUGCAACAAUCAGGAAAGAACAGUCGGAGAGGCAUUUUUGUAAACUUGGGUCCAUUGGUCACAUAAUAUAUUUCAGAUUUCAAACACCCCUGGGAAGACGUACAGUGAAACAGUAUUUGCCCCCUUUCUGAUUUUUCUCUACUGUUGCAUAUUUUUAUACUGACUGUUAGCAGGUCUUCAACCAAAACCUAAUAUUAGAUAAAGGGAACCUGAGUUUACAAAGAACAGUCAUUUUAUUUAUUUAAUUAACAAAUGGGACCCAUGUCAUCCCAAAAAUUAUACUUUUCAAUCAUCUGUCCAUAGAACAUUCUUCCAGAAGUCUUGAUGAUCGUCAUUUUGGCAAACUUGAGUAAACUUUUUGGACAUGGGUUCCAUUAUGGGGUGGCAGGUAGCCUAGUGGUUAGAGCGUUGGGCCAGUAACCAGCAGGUAGCCUAGUGGUUAGAGCGUUGGGCCAGUAACCAGCAGGUAGCCUAGUGGUUAGAGCGUUGGGCCAGUAAUCAGCAGGUAGCCUAGUGGUUAGAGCGUUGGGCCAGUAAUCAGCAGGUAGCCUAGUGGUUAGAGCGUUGGGCCAGUAAUCAGCAGGUAGCCUAGUGGUUAGAGCGUUGGGCCAGUAACCAGCAGGUAGCCUAGUGGUUAGAGCGUUGGACCAGUAACCAGCAGGUAGCCUAGUGGUUAGAGCGUUGGGCCAGUAACCAGCAGGUAGCCUAGUGGUUAGAGCGUUGGGCCAGUAACCAGCAGGUAGCCUAGUGGUUAGAGCGUUGGGCCAGUAAUCAGCAGGUAGCCUAGUGGUUAGAGCGUUGGGCCAGUAACCAGCAGGUAGCCUAGUGGUUAGAGCGUUGGGCCAGUAACCAGCAGGUAGCCUAGUGGUUAGAGCGUUGGACCAGUAACCAGCAGAUAGCCUAGUGGUUAGAGCAUUGGGCCAGUAACCAGCAGGUAGCCUAGUGGUUAGAGCGUUGGGCCAGUAACCAGCAGGUAGCCUAGUGGUUAGAGCAUUGGACCAGUAACCAGCAGGUAGCCUAGUGGUUAGAGCGUUGGGCCAGUAACCAGCAGGUUGCUAGAUUGAACACCCGAGCUGACAAGGUAUAAAUCUGUCAUUCUGUCCCUGAACAAGGCAGUUAACCCACUGUUUCUUGGCCGUCGUUUAAAAUAAGAAUUUGUUCUUAACUGACUUGCCUGGUUAAACAAAAUUGUUUUUAUGCCUGGCAAAAACUAAACACUGCAUUCCACAGUAAGAACCUCAUACCAACGGUCAAGCAUGGUGGUGGCAGUGUGAUGGUUUGGGGUCAGCAUGGUGGUGGUAGUGUGAUGGUUUGGGGUCAGCAUGGUGGUGGUAGUGGGAUGGUUUGGGGUCAGCAUGGUGGUGGUAGUGUGAUGGUUUGGGGUCAGCAUGGUGGUGGUAGUGUGAUGGUUUGGGGUCAGCAUGGUGGUGGCAGUGUGAUGGUUUGGGGAUGCUUUGCUACCUCAGGACCUGGACGACUUGCCUUAAUAGUAGGGAACCAUGAAUUCUGCUCUGUAUCAGAGAAUUCUACAGGAGGAUGUCAGGCCGUCCGUCUGUGAGCUGAAACUGAAGUGCAGCUGGGUCAUGCAGCAAGAUAAUGAUUAAAAACACAAGUCUACAUAAAAAUGGCUAAAGAGCAACACAUUUGAAGAUUGGAAUGGCCUAGUCAAAGUUUAGACCUAAUCCCUAGUCCCAAUUGAGAUGUUGUGGCAGGACUUGAAAAGAGCAUUUCAUGCUUGAAAACCCACACAUUGCUGAAUUAAAGCAGUUCCGCAUGGAAGAGUGGGACAGAAUUCCUCCACAGCGACGUGAGAGACUGAUCAACAACUACAGGAAGUGUUUGGUUGGAGUCGUUGCAGCUAAAGGUGGACUGAUCAACAACUACAGGAAGUGUUUGGUUGGAGUCGUUGCAGCUAAAGGUGGACUGAUCAACAACUACAGGAAGUGUUUGGUUGGAGUCGUUGCAGCUAAAGGUGGACUGAUCAACAACUACAGGAAGUGUUUGGUUGGAGUCGUUGCAGCUAAAGGUGGACUGAUCAACAACUACAGGAAGUGUUUGGUUGGAGUCGUUGCAGCUGAAGGAGGCACAACCAGUUAUUGAGUAUAAGGGGACAAUCACUUUUUCACACAGGGGAAUUUGGUGUUGCAUAACUUUGUUUAUGAAAUAAAUUAAAUAAAGAAUGUAAUUGUUGUGUUAUUUGUUCACUCAGGUUUCCUUUAUCUAAUAUUAGGUUUUGGUUGAAGAUCUGAUAACAUUCAGUGUCAAAAAUAUGCAAAAGAAGAGAAAACUAAAAAGGGGGAAAAUACUUUAUCACGGGAACAACGGCCACUAAAACACCCUUCUACCAUAGUAAAACACCCUUCUACCAUAGUAAAACACCCUUCUACCAUAGUAAAACACCUUUCUACCAUAGUAAAACACCCUUCUACCAUAGUAAAACACCCUUCUACCAUAGUAAAA